rnacentral:rRNA from 1 species
UACGUAGGGACCAAGCGUUGUUCGGAUUUACUGGGCGUAAAGGGCGCGUAGGCGGCGCGGUAAGUCACUUGUGAAAUCUCUGAGCUUAACUCAGAACGGCCAAGUGAUACUGCAGUGCUAGAGUGUGGAAGGGGCAAUCGGAAUUCUUGGUGUAGCGGUGAAAUACGUAGAUACUCAAGAGGAACACCUGAGGUGAAGACGGGUUGCUGGGCCAACACUGACGCUGAUGCGCGGAAAGCCAGGGGAGCAAACGGG